rnacentral:tRNA from 1 species
GGGAAGGUAGCUCAGUGGUGGAGCACUCACCUUGCAUAUGAGAAGCCCGGGGUUCAACCCCCAGCUCUGCGG